CAUGCCAAUGGCAUUGCCCGGUAGCUAAGUGCGGAAAAGAUAAGCGCUGAAAGCAUCUAAGCGCGAAACUUGCCUCAAGAUGAGUCUUCCCUGGGCCUUUAAGGUCCCUGAAGGAACGUUUAAGACUAAGACGUUGAUAGGCUGGGUGUGUAAGUGCAGCGAUGCAUUGAGCUAACCAGUACUAAUGAUCCGUGAGGCUUAACCUUACAACACCGAAGGUGUUU
rnacentral:rRNA from 1 species